GACGAACGCUGGCGGCGUGCUUAACACAUGCAAGUCGAACGGAAAGGCCCUGCUCUUGUGGCGUGCUCGAGUGGCGAACGCGUGAGUAACACGCGAGUAACAUGCACUUAACUUUGGGAUAACUUCAGGAAAAUGGGGCUAAUAUAGGAUAGGAGCUCCUGCUGCAUGGUGGGGGAUGGAAAGAUUCGGCGGUUGGGGAUGGACUGGCGGCUUAUCAGCUUGUUUGUGGGGUAGUGGUUGACCAAGGCUUUGACGGGUAGCCGGCCUGGGAGGGUGGCCGGCCACAUGAGGACUGAGAGACGGAGCAGACGCCAACGGGAGGCAGCGGUGGGGAAUAUGGCGCAGUGGGGGGAAGCCUGAGGCAGCGGCGUCGCGUGCGUGAUAACGUGUUUCUGGUGAUAAACCGCUUUGUCAUGUGACGUAGCGUGAGUGACGGUAAUGGGUAAGGAAGCACCGGCUAACUACGUG
rnacentral:rRNA from 1 species